GACCGAGGAUGCAAGCGUUAUCCGGAAUGAUUGGGCGUAAAGCGUCUGUCGGUGGCUUUUUAAGUCUGCCGUCAAAUCCCAGGGCUUAACCCUGGACAGGCGGUGGAAACUACAUGGCUAGAGUGCGUUCGGGGCAGAGGGAAUUCCUGGUGUAGCGGUGAAAUGCGUAGAGAUCAGGAAGAACACCGGUGGCGAAAGCGCUCUGCUAGGCCGCAACUGACACUGAGGGACGAAAGCUAGGGGAGCGAAUGGG
rnacentral:rRNA from 1 species